GAAAAAAGCUAUGACUGUAAUCAAUGUGGU
rnacentral:piRNA from 1 species